CCAACAGCACCUCGACCUCUGAGCCUGGUGUGGGAAGGCCAGAUUCUGCCCAGCCUGCCUCGGGGCCCUGAGCCAUGGUGGCUGGUACAGCCAGGGGUAGUGAGAAGAGGUGGGCAGGGUGCUGGGGCUGAUGUCAGCUUUGACAGAAGGCCAGCAACUGGCCUUGAGCAGGUUUUUGUCCCCAGGAGCACGUGAGCAGCGACGGGGCCACCCUGUGGGGGUGCUGUCUGGCCCUAGGGCUCAGAACAGUCCCAGAUUCAGCUCAGAGUCUUUAUUCCUUUAGCUCGGCACUGCAAUCCCAGGGUAGUGCCUGGCUUGCUGUUGGCCUCCCGCAGCACUAUUUAGAGAAGAAAUUCCACUGGGACACCUGGUACUUUGCAGAGCAGACGAACAUUUCUGGACUUGCUGUGGGGAGAGGCAGGCUGAAGCUGUGGUGCCAGGAAACAGGCUCUCCUAGGUGGAUGCAGAUGUAAUGGACAAGGGCCGCAGGUCUGGGUAGGACAGAGGCCCCUGGCUGCUGGAGGUGGAGGUAUUGCCAGGUUGGGACGUGUGGAGAAGCUGCAGAGCUCACAGGACAGUGCAGAAGGCCUGGUAAGGACCCCAGGCUGCCCGCCUGAUGGGGUCAGAGGAGGGGACAGAGCCAACGAGCCUCGCUCUGGCUUCUGCUGGUUGGCUGUGACUCCUGGUCUGCCUGGAUGGAGCCGGAGGAUAAGAAGAACAGGAAGAGAAAGGAAAGCAGCUGGAGGAUGCAGGAUGCCCGUCUGCUGUGUGGUGGAGGGGCCUGAGGAGGAAGGAGGCAUGCGGGCCCCCAGCCAAGAGGCUCAAUUAGGGUUCCCUGGCAUCCACAGGCCGGAGGAACAGCCAGUGCCUGUGGGAGGUCAGAAACCGACAGACUUGGAGCCAGUGAAUCUGGGCUGAAGACCUGCUGCUCUGCGUCAAAUUGCCAACCUCCUUGAGUUCUGAGCAGAGAAGGCAAUGGCACCCCACUCCAGUACUCUUGCCUGGAAAAUCCCAUGGACGGAGGAGCCUGGUAGGCUGCAGUCCAUGGGGUUGCGAAGAGUCAGACAUGACUGAGUGACUUCACUUUCACGCAUUGGAGAAGGAAAUGGAAACCUACUCCAGUGUUCUUGCCUUGAGAAUCCCAGGGAUGGCGGAGCCGGUUGGCUGCCGUCUAUGAGGUCGCACAGAGUUGGACACGACUGAAGCGACUUAGCAGCAGCAGCAGCAUGAGCUCUGAGCGUCACUCCACGGUAUAGGCGACCCUGCUGACCUUAAAGACUUAGAGUGAAGAUUCAACAAUGAAGCUCCAGCCCAGCUCCUAGCACAGAAGCCAGCACGAUGGCCGUGGUCCUGGGUUCCUGGGGUGCCUGCGGGCUGGCUCCCGCCAUCCACCUGCUCCUGGAGUUCACACACUCAGACCAAGAGGAAAACGAGGAAAGGAUGCAGGUUCUCCCACAGUGACAGAAGCCAGCGGCUGAGCCCAAAGUCCACGCUGGGUCUCGACUUCCCCAAUCCACUGUACUUAAUCGAUGGGUUCACAAGCUUGGCCAGAGCAAUGCCAUCCUUCGCAGGGACAUGAGGGGAGACAGAGGGGGAGAAGGUACUGGGCAUGUGUUGGAGAACCAGGUUAUGGACGUCUGUAUGUACGCCGCCGUCAGGAUCUGCUACAGAUCCGACUUUGAGCAACUGGAGCCCGGUUACUCGAAGGAGAUCCCUGAGAAGGUGAGGUUCUUCUCAGACUUUCUGGGGAAGAGGCCUUGGCUUGCAGGGGCCAAGCUCACCUAGCUGGACUCCCUGGAUUAUGACAUCCUUGAUGGGCACCGCCAUGUUUGAGCCCAAGUGCCUGGAUGAAUCCCAAACCUGGAAGACUGCCUUUCCCAUGUUGAGGGCCUGAGGAUCUCUGCCCCUGAAGCCCAGUCGCUUCUGCCCAGGGCCUCUGUUUCUGGAGACUGCCCUGUGGGGCAAUAGGUGGGACCUUCUAACCAGAUGGAGUGAGGAGCCGGUGCCCUCAAGAGCAGCCGGACCUCCCUGCCCCCAGAACCACCUGUCCUUUCCUUUCUCCUUCUGGCCACUCUAGAUGCCUUCACAGCCCCCUUGUCUCCCUCCCAACUCCCUUCCCAUCCUUCCUUUAAAGCUUCAGCUCCCGUUUUUCUUCAACAAAUUUCCUCCCCCACCCCCAUGUUCUUCCUCCUGCACUAAAGCUCAACCAGACCGUCCUUCCUUUCCGUGGUUGCUUCUGCCCUGAGGAGUCCACCAGACCCCCGUCCCAGAGAGCUCUGCCCUGAAGACCUGACUUGGCUAGUGUGGGGGCCAUGCUUCCCUGUGUGGUUCCUGCCUGCCCUAUCUGGUCCCCAGUAAAGACUUAAUCAUACCACCAACAACUACAAGACUCUAGUACGUGUGCUAGAAUCUGAAUGUAGCAGGCGCUUCUCAUGGCUCACUCCCUUCCUCCCACAAACCCAGCCGGCCCCACCACUUCGCUUGGUGCUCCAAGGUUCUGAAAGCAGAGAAGGCAACUCUAGACGCUCAGGCUGUCCUGGCAGCGGAGGGUCCACUGAUCCCAGACCAGGGUCUUCUUCCUAUGGAGCUUCCCAGAGUUACUGCCAGGCACCACCAGGCUCCAGAGCCCUGGACAAAGGUUCUCGGAUGCCUGUCUUUAGACAUAGAUACAAAGCGAUCAGCGUAGUAGAUCCCAGAAUUCAAGAGAGAUGGAACUGCUGGUCUAAAGCCAUACAUCAUCAAUGCACAGUGAGGGGGGACUUUGGCCACGUGGGCUCUGAACCCCAGAGCCGGCUAGGAGGGGCUUGUCCUUGUCUGGAGAGCCCUCGGAUCCUCUGCCACUCUGCAGGCACAUCAGUAAGAGAUGCACUUGCAGGCAGACAGACGCCAGUUCAAAUCUCAGCUGUAUUCCUUUCCAGCUGCAUGACAACGGGUUUGACCUCUCUAAGGUCUGCUCCCUUGUGUGAAAAGGAGGAUGCCAGUUCAUUCGGAAGGCUGCCCGGAAGAACAGCUUGAGAGAGGCACACCAUUUAACCACCACCCAGUGGAGGUGACUUGACGGUGCUUCAGACCAGUGACCGGUGGUCCUGACACUGCACUGUUCUGCUCCUUUCUGUUCUGUCCUGAACCUCUUCUGCUUCUUUGCUUCACUUGAAUCCGAUCCAGUGCCAUCAAGUCCUGAUCUUUGACCCCUCCCAUCAGCCUGACCCUCCAUGGUCCCCACAUCUUCAGAAUAGCCCUGCUGGAAGUGACCCAUCCCAUCUGACCCUGGCUCACCUGGGAUCAGCAGGUAGGUCUCCCUCCCAGGACAACUCCUUGAGCCAGGAGCCAACGUUCCCCAGCAGGAGGGGCCAGGGCCCCAGGAAGAGGAAUGGUUCUGGGUUUGGGCCUCCACUUGGGAGCUGGCUCAGGCCCAUCUCUGGCCACUCAGCCUCCUGAGGAGCCUGCCGUGAGGGACGUGUGACUAGCCCUAGACCCUCAGUGCCCUGGUCCACUCCCGGCGGAUCCGUCCACACCUCAUUUAGCCACUUAGGGAGGAGAAAGAGCAAGGGGAGCUGGAGAAAUCUGUCCAGACCCUGAUGAAUAGUUUCCCAAGCCUGCUGUUGCCAUGGCAGCCAGCUGGGAACACCAUUUCCAGGGCCCGAGGCGCUAAGACCUGCACGGGGGGCUGCCCUGCUGGGCUGCUGCCCACUCGCCUACCCCCACCCGGCCUCCUGGCUCCUUAGCAACUGCUGUCACCAUUGCCAUCGCAACCACGGCUGCAGCUUCUGCACUGGCAGCUGGAGUGGGGGAGGGGGCAGUGUCCAGGGAUGUUCUAGGAGGAGGCGGGGAGUAUGUGCCUGGCAGAGUUGAGGUACUUAUGAGGUAGGAAGGGAAAACCUGGGCCACUUUGCCUCAGUGGCUCCUUCCUGACUAUAGACUCCUAAGGAUGUGUUUGUGUAUCUUGGUGUAUGUGGGUUUUUCUGGAGAAAGAGUUUAGAGUUUUUAUCCAACUCUCAAAGAAGACCAAGAUCCCCAGUGAGUAAGAGCCACAGUCAUGGACACUUCUGCUUUCAGAGUCAGAAUCAUCUCAGGGACUGGUUGAUCCCCAGGCUUCAGAGAUAAGCACAGGGGAAAGGUGGAGGCAGGAGGCGUACUACUCAGGGACCCCUCAGGGGUGCCCCCUGGGGUCCUUUGGGAACCGGGGCUGGCGUCUCCCUCCUGACCACCUUAGAUGGUCCAUCCUUCUCAUCUGCCCCGGCUUGCAGCUCUGCCCCGAAGUCAGCCGUGCAAACCAUCUGUGUUUCCUGUGCCCAGCCCCUGAGUCCCGUGUCCUACACACCCUCUACAGUGUCCCAGCAACCUGCACACUGACCAGCGGGGAUGUUCACUCACCACUGCCAUUUAGAGAUGAGAACUUUGAAACAACAGAUAAAGUGAGCCAUCUGCCAAGUCGAUGCAGUGGGUUUCCCUGUCCCCGAGGAGCAGGAGUCACAGGGCACCAUAUUUUCUCGGGGGACACUGUGCAAUCGCCACUGUUGGCUACAUGCAGAUCAAAGGAAGUGACCUCGGGACAUCCCUGUAGACUGACCUCUGCUACAGAGAAUUGCCCAUGCCCGCAGGUCAGGUACCCCUGGGUAUCCUGGUUGGUACCCUUGGGCGGGCAGAUGGCACAGUGUCUCUGGCUACCAGGUGCCUGGUUCAACAGUCUAGGUGAGGGAUUUUGAAGGUUCCACAGAGGGAGCAGAAAAGACCAGAUGCCCCACACUUCACUGGCAUGUGGGGGGCGGGCAGGUGUUCAUGAGGGGCCUGAGAGGGAGGUGAGAGGCUUGGAACACCCCCAGGCCACGUGGGCUGUUGGCAUCCUAGCAGAGGAUGACAGGGACGCUGUGUUCGUCACUGCUGUGCAGAAACACAAGGUACCAUCCGAUCCGCAAGUGGGAGUGGGGGGCUCCGUCAUCUGCAGGCUUCUGUGGGAGCAAUCUCUCGGCCCCUCAUCUUGCCCCAGAGGCGCAGCGCCGAGAGCAGAUGGUGAGGGGGAGGAGGGUGGGUCCCGAUUCCUGAGUCACUUGUCUGCCGGGCUUCCUUUUGGGGGUGCUGGCAAGUACAGCACGCUCCAUCAUCGCGGACAAAUUGGUGGCCGGAUGGCAGGGAGGCGAGGGUCAGACAAAGGAGGUGAUGCUGGGAGUGCCUCACACCCAGUCAGGAGGUGAUUAAGCUGUGGAGGAGAAAGCCGGGGAGUCAUCGCUGACUCAGGGAUGAGGCUGCUGCUCUGUUCUCGCCUCACCUGCCCGCUCACUCGCAGGCUGGAGCGGGGAGGCUGGUUGAAAAGGUGAGUGAUUCAGAGGCACUUUAAAAAGCAGCGCUUCUUAAGCUGACGAGCUUCUGAGACUGAAUCAGACUUUUUUUUUCCUUUAAUUUUCCAAUGUGAGGAGGUUGGAGUCUUUUCUGAGAACUAGGGACAGAGCCCAGGGUGGACACAGCUGGGGGCCUGGACAGGCGAAGCAGCCAUGUGCCCCCUAGCUCUGAGUGGGGUGUGUUUGAGAGAGGCUGCCGGCUGGCUAGUUAAGGGCCUGGGAUGUGAGCCCAGUCUGGACUCACUAGCUCUGGGCAGUGACCACUCCCUCCAACUCCACGGCAACCCCAGGUCUAUUUUCUCAUCCAUAGGAAGAGACUAGAAUUCCUGGGUACCAGACUGGGAGGGGAGAGGGCAGGGCAGCACCGGUGCAGCCCUAAAUGAAGAAGAAGUAACUUCUCUUCAGUUUCUCUCUCCUAUUCCGAAGAGAAGUAAGACAUCCUGAUUUAUAUCACACGCUGUGGUCACAACAGAACAGUAAGAUGGGUAAUUCAGUGAUGCAAAUUACCCUCAAAUACAAUAAACAUUUAUUGAAAGACGCUGCUUUAUUGUUGGCGACCCCCUCUGGGAAGGUGCUAAAGGUGCGCGGAUCUGGUUGGUGGGUGUCCAAGGAGACUGAGAUGGUGCUCCUUGUGUUUUGGGUUCAGAGUCUCAAAGACAAAAAGUCAGAAAACUAAGCUUUUGGAAGGGCUGAAUAUAGAAUAAUCAAGACCCUAAACCUUGGAGGGUUCGUCAAAUGCCCCAUGUCGGGCUGGGUAACACCAAACAUGUGCCUUGAGAGUGAGUCUAAUUCUCUUUCAAUUUUUCUUUAUCCCAAAGGAGAAGGAAGAAUCUUUGACCAGCAAGAGCAGCCAGCUUGCAAAGACAGGAUGGCUGACAUGAGGUGCAAACAAGCAAGUCAGGGAGGUCACUUGUUUGACCUCCAGGAUGCAUUGCCCAGAGCCCGCAGGGUGAUUCCAGCUGUGCAGGGCACCCGUGCCCAGAGCCCCUGUGAGCCUGGCAGCUGACAACAUGCACCCAAGGGGCCAGGUCUCGGCUGGGGCUCACCUGGAGACACACCCUCCAUCCUGCUGUCCACGGGCUCCCUCCUGCCUGGUACCACUCCCACCACCUGACCGUUCUGGGCUCUGCCAAGAGCCGCCUGUUCAGCCGGUGUGAGCUGCUCACACAUAGCUUUCCUGCUGUUUCCUGGGGUUUAUUAUGACCUUGGGAAGAGUCAAAGCCAUUUUCUCCUUGGCAGGAAUGGGCUUUGGGCUUGUCUGAAUUCUAGCCACAGAUGCAUCCAGAAUGUUCCCACAGCCACAAGAGCUCCACAGUCAGGGUCACUUAACCAUCAAAUUGGGAGCCAGGUAACCAAGAUCUUGGUUGGUUCCUGCACCCACUGGUGGGAGGGGCCUGACAACCCAUGAAGCGUCCUUUUCUGCUCCCAAAGCCCGCUUCUUAUACAUGCCUGGCCUCCACCAGCCACACAGACAACUCUCCUAGGAACUUCCCUCCUCACUUGCCAUGCAUGGGCUGCAGCCUCUUGCCAUUGAAAGCACAGACCACAGCCAUCAGCAUAUAGAUUGAGCUGUUAACACAGGAAGAACAGAGUGAAAAGGGAGGGGGCUUACAGACCUGAGGUGGGCUUUUCUGGGGGAAGGUGGUUUCUGAGAUGAGGGGUCAACCAGCUGCUUCUGCCACCUCACCAAGGAGAAGGGGAGAGUCCGAAUAAGGGGGUCAUCACUAUGCCUGGCCCCUCCCCCAUAGGGGCAGAGGAAGGGGCAGGAAGCAGGGCUGGCGUGUCUCUGCACCCCCACUGCCAGUCCCAGGCCAUCACCCCGACACGUCCUGCUUGCUGAAGGAUCUCCCUGUCCAGUCUCUACUUUCCAUAGUGGGUCUUGAUUCUCCUUUGAAUCUUGGCCACAAGCAGACCUUUGCUGAGUCUGUGACCACAAGGCAUUUAAGAUGCAAUGUUAGUUUCCCCCACCCCGGGGGAAGGGCGGGAGGCAGGUGGCAGGGCUGGAUUGGAGCCCAGGAUGAUGCUUGGUGGGAAGCUGGAGGGGCAGGUAGACUCAGAUUACACACUUGGGAGUCCAGACGAGGGAGCUGAUGCCUCGUGAGAUGAAACGGUUUGUUUACCGAGAGCUUGUGCUCAUUGAUGGGAGAGCAAGACUACGCUCAGGUCAUUGGACACCCGAGCCUUCCUGCAGCUGUGGAGCCUAUCCCAUCCAGCAGUGGCUCAGCUGUUCCUGCCUGGGGAGGAGCACCCAGAUCUGCAGACCAGGCUCCUGCUGGUGAUGUGAGUGCCACUGCACACACGGCCACACACACUCGACAUCAUCUCUUGCACACUUGCCACGUGCUGGAUGGCGGAGUGCACAUCACAUGUGACGGGAUCUCUGCCCCAAGCAGUGGUCAGGAGGGCUUCCUUGGUGGUCCAGUGGUUAAGAAUCCAUGUUGCAAUGCAGGGGACACAAUUUCGGUCCCUGGUUCUGGGAAUAUCCCACAUGCCCUGGGCGGCUAAGAUCGUGUGCUGUGAAUACCGAAGCCCACAUGCAGUGGCUACUGAAGACUGUGUGCCUACAGCCUGUGCUCCACGACAAGAGAAGCCACCAAAACAUAACUAGAGAGAAGGCUGCACUAGAGAAGAGCCCAUGCAGCAACGAAGAUCCAGUCCAGCCAAAAAUAAAUAAAUAAUAUAAAUUGUAUAUAAAAAUAUCACCGGGGGAAGAGGAAGCAGGUGCCAGGCUGUGAAGGUGGCAAGAAGAAGCCCCUGAAGCAGCCCAAGAAGCAAGACAAGGAGAUGGAUGAGGGAGAUAAGGCAUUCAAGCAGAAACAGAAGGAGGAGCUGAAGAAACUUGAGGAGCUAAAAGUGAAGGCCAGGGGAAAGGCCCCCUGGCCACAGGUGGAAUUAAGAAAUCUGGCAAAAAAAUAAGCUGUUCCGUGGACCUAAGACAGUGAUGAUCCUUAGUUCCAUUCCUCUGCAAACACCGGCAUUCCCUGCCAUAACAGCCUUUGCAUCCUCUAGCUAAGAUGAAGUCUUGUCUUGGAACUUAUUGUACAUUUAAGAAUAAACUUUUGUAAAAAAACAAAACAAAAAUCAUACACUGGCUCAUUUGUCUUCAUUUCUUCUCAGCCGU
ensembl:lncRNA